UACGAAGGGGGCUAGCGUUGCUCGGAAUCACUGGGCGUAAAGCGCACGUAGGCGGCUUUCUAAGUCAGGGGUGAAAUCCUGGAGCUCAACUCCAGAACUGCCUUUGAUACUGGAAAGCUUGAGUUCGAGAGAGGUGAGUGGAACUGCGAGUGUAGAGGUGAAAUUCGUAGAUAUUCGCAAGAACACCAGUGGCGAAGGCGGCUCACUGGCCCGGUACUGACGCUGAGGCACGAAAGCGUGGGGAGCAAACAGG
rnacentral:rRNA from 1 species